GGGCGUGAUCCUUGUGGGUGCAAGAGUAGUAUUGGGAUGGGUGACCUCCCGGGAAGUCCUAGUGUUGCACCCC
rnacentral:rRNA from 1 species